rnacentral:rRNA from 1 species
ACGUAGGGGGCGAGCGUUGUCCGGAGUUACUGGGCGUAAAGGGCACGCAGGCGGUCCUGCGCGUUUCGCGUGACAGCGGGUGGCUUAACUGCCCGAGGGUGCGAAAGACGGUGGGACUUGAGGGCCAGAGAGGGACCUGGAAUUCCGGGUGGAGUGGUGAAAUGCGUAGAUAUCCGGAGGAACACCAAAGGCGAAGGCAGGGUCCUGGCUGGUGACUGACGCUGAGGUGCGAAAGCUAGGGGAGCGAACGGGA